UACGGAGGGUGCGAGCGUUGUCCGGAAUCAUUGGGCGUAAAGGGCGCGUAGGUGGCGGGACAAGCGUGCGGUGAAAGCUCGGGGCUCAACCCCGCGUCGGCCGUGCGAACUGUUUUGCUUGAGCACUGUAGAGGCAGGCGGAAUUCCGGGUGUAGCGGUGGAAUGCGUAGAGAUCCGGAAGAACACCGGUGGCGAAGGCGGCUCACUGGCCCGAUACUGACGCUGAGGUGCGAAAGCGUGGGGAGCAAACAGGG
rnacentral:rRNA from 1 species